UACGUAGGGAGCAAGCGUUGUCCGGAAUCAUUGGGCGUAAAGCGCGCGUAGGUGGCCCGGUAAGUCCGCUCUGAAAGUCACAGGCUCAACCUGUGAAAGCGGGUGGAUACUGCCGGGCUAGAGUCCGGAAGAGGCGAGUGGAAUUCCUGGUGUAGCGGUGGAAUGCGCAGAUAUCAGGAGGAACACCGGUGGCGAAGGCGGGUCUCUGGGCAGUAACUGACGCUGAGGAGCGAAAGCGUGGGGAGCGAACAGG
rnacentral:rRNA from 1 species